AUUUUCUCUCUCCAUUAGACUUGUUCAUUCAGUUUCAAACAAUUUGUGAUUUGUCCAAAUUUGGGCAAUUCAAAAAUUGUUUGAAACUGAAUGAACAAGUCUAAUGGAGAGAGAAAAUAUAUAU